rnacentral:lncRNA from 1 species
CGCAUUCUCUCGCUGGUAUCUCACGGAUUUUGGUUGGCUGCGCACCUAUCAGACCAUGAAAACCAUUGUCGAUCAAGCCUCUAUUUCGACUGCAUCCUCUUAAUUUUUGUCAUGCUCUCGCUGAUGGGCUCAAUUUUUUUUUGCUUCGUUUUGCUCCUCACAUUGGUGUUCAGAAAAUCCAGUUCUCAAGGUUCAGAAUGAAAAGAACCCCUUUAAAAAUGGAUUUCGAUUAUGAUCUUGUGAUUACUACGAUCACAAGUAUCAAGAAAUGGGACUAAAUGUAAUAAGUGAGUUAGGUUGAAGGGUUAUUUUGCUAUUUGUAAUUCUGUAGGGAAAGUUUGUUUAUAAUUUCUGUUUUGUAUUGCCUUGUGGCAGGUUUCACAUAUGUAUUUGGCUACCUAUAAAGCCAUAUAUUCUCUCACUUCGAAAGGUUAGAAAAAUAUAAUACAAUUUUACCAAAUUUGCUUCUGUUGUUCCUCUCAUCUUCCUUCAUAUCCAUAUCUGAUCUUACAAGCAGGUUAAGGUCUGACCUCAUCAGAUUUGGGUGUUAUCAUUGGUAUCAGCCUCCGGUCCUGGUUCCCUUCCGUGUAUGCCCCUAUGCUACUACCACUACUCGUCUCUCUGCAAUGGAUGGCCAUGUUGCUGCGCUCAAGAAUUCCGUCACUUCCCUCCAUACCUUUAUGGCUUCCUUGGCUUCACUUCCUUCCUUGGUUGAUAAUGCGGUGGUGGAUACUCUACUUUAAGCAAUUCCGUCGCGAGCUGUAAUUUCGACCGAGCGGCAGUGACCUUUUGGGUCCCGGGGUUACUGACUGCUCUGAUCAUCGUGCCGCUGCACCAGAUCCACGUCAUCCGGGUCCGAUUCAUGUUGGCGAUGUUCAACCGCCACGAUCGCCAUGGGUCCAACGCAUGGAGCUUCCUUGUUUUGUUGACGGUGAGGAUUCGCUCGCUUGGAUCUACAAAGCCAAGCAGUUCUACUCCUUUUACAACACUCCGGCUGCUCAUCGUGUGUUUACUGCUUCCUUCCAUUUCGAUGGGGAGGUUUUGCAAUGGUUUAAACGGAGAGAUUGUUUGCAUACCACGCCAACAUGGGAGGAGUUCACUCAAGCCCUGUGCCUAGAGUUUGGACCACUUGAGUUUGAGGACACCGCUGAAACACUCUUUAAAUUACACCAUACAGGUACUUUGAAGGAUUACAUCUUUGAAUUAGGCGUUUGGCUAAUCGUACUCUUGAUAUUAGUCCUGUGUUGCUUAACAGUUGUUUCCUAUGAGGUUUGAAAUGAGAGCUUAAAUUUGAUGUCAAAUUGUUGAAAUCAACUACUGUGCAUGAUGCAAUUGCAAUUGUUGUCCAAUUAGAUACCAAACUAAAUGAGUUUAAGAAUAGUCAGGCUAAAUCCUCUUCUGUGUUGAAAAAUCAGUUGGUACCUUCCCCUGUUACUCCUCACACUACCCUUUAGAACAGGUAAUUUGGCAGUAAAAAAAAUUGACCCCUGAAGAAGUUCGAAGAAAGAGGAAGCGAGGGGAGUGUUGGUUCUACCAGGAUAAAUGGACCACGGGUCACAAAUGUGGUUUAAAACAGCUUAUGAUGCUGGAUUUACUGGAUGGAUAAGUUGAUGUUCUUACUGAAGAACAGGUAGAGGCUCCUGAGUUGCAUCAUAUGGCACUUAGUGAGUGUGCCUUUUAUGGUAUCACUGCGAGCUAAACACUACAAAUAAUGAAAAUGGACGGUCUGUUGCAAGGUCAUUAUAUUAAGUUAUUAUUAGAUUCAGGGAGUACUCACAAUUUCGUGGACUCCAAGCUCAUAAAACAAUAGGGUUAUCAUGCUCAGUUCACAAAGCCUUUUGAAGUCAUGAUUGCAGAUGGGGGACAAGUGCGUAGUUCGGGAUGUUGUAAGGUUAUGCCUCUGUCGUUGGGGGGGGGUUAUGAGUGUACGGUGGACCUUUAUGCUUUGCCAUUAGGUGGAUGUGAUGCAAUGUUGGGUGUACAAUGGCUCUUGUCAAUGAGCCCGAUUUUAUGGGACUUUCAGUCAUUAACUAUAGAGUUUUCCAAGGGCGAUCAGAAGUUCAAGUUGAUUCAUAGUCCUCCAUAGGUUCCAUUCAUUCAGGAACUAUCCUUGCAGCACAUAGACAAGGAGUUUCACAGUUCUAAUCUUAGUAUAUGCCUUUAUUCAUUGGAGAAUAAUAAGUUGGAGGUCAGUAAUCUUAAUUCUCACCAAUUGCUGGAGUUACAAGGACUGUUAAGAGAGUUUGAAAACAUCUUUGUGGUACCUACCAAGCUGCCACCUUCGAGAACCCAUGAUCAUUCUAUUUCCUUAGCCCAUGGGGUUAAACCUCUUAACUUAAGACCCUAUCAUUAUGGUCCCAUUCAAAAAAACGGAGAUUGAGAAAGCUGUGAAGGAACUUUUGGAUGCAGGAUUUAUAAGGGCAAGCCAUAGUCCCUUUUCAUUCUCCGUACUAUUAGUCAAGAAGAAAGACAACACUUGGAGAAUAUGCAUUGAUUAUAAGGAAUUGAAUGCUCUCACAAUCAAGGACAAGUACCCUAUCUCUCUCAUUGAUGAUCUGUUGGAUGAAUGGCAUGGUUCCAAUUAUUUUUCUAAGCUCGAUUUGAGGUUGGGGUACCAUCAGAUAUUAAUGAAACCUGAGGAUGUGGGAAAGACAACCUUUAGAACUCAUGAGGGUCACUAUGAGUUUUUAGUGAUGCCCUUUGAUCUUACUAAUGCGCCAACAAUCUUUUAGAACUUGAUGAAUGACUUGUUUAAACCAUUCCUUAGGAAGUUUGUGCUUGUUUUCUUUUAUGAUAUACUCAUCUAUAGCACAUCUUGGCUGUAACAUUUGACACAUUUAAGGGAAAUAUUCAAAGUCCUGCACCAGAAUCAGUUGUAUCUUAAGAAGUCUAAGUGCUCAUUUGGUCAAAGUAGUGUGGAGUACCUUGCACAUAUAGUAUCUAAGGAGGGGGUGGCUGCUGAUCCAUCUAAGCUCAGAGCAAUCUAGGAAUGAUCUCAACCAAGAAAUGUAAAGGAGUUAAGGGGGUCUUUUGGGGCUUACUAGGUAUUAUCGAAAAUUCAUUCCCAACUAUGAAAAGGUCUGCCAACCCUUGUACAAUCUGACUAAAAAAGAUGGUUUUGAUUGGAAUAAUUCGUCUACUGAAGCCUUUGAACAACUCAAAAGAAUUAUGUCUUCACCACAGGUCUUAGCACUUCCAGAUUUUACUCAAACUUUUGUAGUAGAAUGUGAUGCAUCUGGAAAUGGUAUAGGGGUUAUUUUGCAACAAAAUCGAAAGCCAGUUGCAUUCUUUAGUCAAGCACUUAAGCCUAAGAAUCAGGCACUUUCCACUUAUGAAAUGAAGCUUAUUGCCAUAGUUCAUGCAAUAAGGAAAUGGCAAAAUUAUUUGCAAGGGAGACACUUCAUUAUAAAAACUGACCAUAGUAGUUUGAAGUACUUUUUGGGGCAGAGAACCAACACUCAAUUCCAGCAAAAAUGGGUAUCUAAACUCCUCAGUUUUAAUUAUGAGAUCCAAUACAAAAGUGGAAAUGAAAACACCGUUGCAGAUUCUUUAUCUUGAAUUCCAAAUCAUCAUGAUAUUGUUCCUGAGGACACUAUGGUAUUAACUGCCAUCUCUUACCCUUACUUUGGGUGGAUGGAUGAAUUAAGAAGAUAUAAUGAGAGUGAUGCUUGUAUUGUGGACAAGAUCAAGGAGGUCACUGCAUACAAAUUCAAGGACACUACAAACUCUGCCUUAGCGAAAUAUUCUGUUGAUAAUGGCUUUUUAUGCUAUAAGAAGAGGAUAGUAAUUAGCCCAAAUUCCCUGUGGAGAACCAAGCUUAUGGAGGAACACCAUUGCACUCCAAUAGCAGGUCACCAAGGUGUAACUAAAACUUAUUAGAGAAUCAAAAUGGGAUUUUAUUGGCAAGGGAUAAAAGGGGAUAUAAGGAAGUUUGUGGCUAAGUGUGCCAUAUGCCAACAAAAUAAGUUUGAGACCAUUACACCACCUGGAUUGCUACAACCCUUACCUUUACCACAAAGGGUUUGGUUUGAUAUUAGUAUGGACUUUAUAGUGGGACUACCUAAUUGCAAGGGCAAAUAAGUUAUCAUGAUCAUUGUGGAUAGGCUCUCCAAGUAUAGCCACUUUAUUACACUUGCUCAUCCAUGUUGGAAAUGUGCCCUAAAACCAAUCAUAUGAUGAUACUUUACGGACAUUUCACAUGUUAAACUAAUCUAGUUUAAUAUCAAGGGCAAAGAUUAUUGUUUGAGCCGUCUCAUAUAAAUGUUAUACGUUUAAACGAUAAGUCCAAGGAAUAUGUGAUUGGGAGAAUGCGAUCUAAAGAAGUUAGAUUCAUGAGACCAUUCUUUCGUAGGCAUAUCCUAAACGUUCCUGAUCUUAGGAUUGCCAAUUGGGCAUUGACAGUCCGUUAAGAUCAGUACGUGAUGUGUCUUCUCUCAGGGAGAGUGACUAGUCUCGAGUCAUUGGUGUGUGUGAUAUCAAGACAAGCAUAUAGGUGCUCAAUAAUGAAUGAGUCCACUGAACACGAUCAACGAGGAGUUCUCAUACUCAUGUCACAUGAGAACUCAUGGUUGGGAUAAUGCAAAGUAGUCCUUUGACCUGAGGCAUCAUAGUUGUCUUGUGGUUAAGUCAUUGAUCUUUGAUUAUGUUAAAGUCACUUCAUCAGGAGGGUGUCCACGGCAUCGUCGGGGUUAAGCCACUUAGCCAUGGAGGCAAGUGAAUGCGCAACAAGGGAUCUCUAACCUUCAAACCGUUUGGGGGAGAAUACUCUAUGAUAUGAUUAAGAAUCUUUAGCAAGAGUAUGAAUGAGAUUUAGGAAGUCGUUCCAAAUCACAUUCAAGGUAAUCAUAUAAGCACACGAAUCACAUUGGAUAGUAGACAUGAAUAAACUAUCAAACCAAACAAUGUGGUCAAGAGUAUUGUAUUAAAAAAAGACCGUAUUGCAUUUGUAAUCUGGUAGGUAUAAAAGCACACCACAAAGUAGCACACAAAUAUCCUAUUAAUUUUCCUUAUUAACACUAAAAUUUGUCGAUUGUAGCAUAUGAAAAUAAGGGUUUUUUCCGCAGAAGAUUGUUUUAUCCAAAUACUUAAAAUGUUACAAAAACAGGGUGGCUGUCUCCACUGACCAGCCACCGAACAAUAAUUAUUAGACUAACUUACACUUAUCCAAAUGCAACGAAAUUUUAUACACAUAAACUAGACACACCAAGCUAUGCUCACACAAAUUUUUGGGAGUUUUGGAGUUGAUUAGCUAUUUAAAUUAAAUCGGACAAAACAGGACCUCAACAAGUUUUAAAUAAUACCAAUAGAUUUUAAUUCACAAGUUAAGAAAACGAGUUAGGGGAAUUGUUAUCCACCACCAAAUAAUCAUGCAAACAUGUUAUGUUUCAUUCAAAUUCCUUUUAUUUCCGGAUGAAGAUGCUCAAGUUGGCUCAAUGUUAGAACACAACUUAUUAUUCUUUCUUACGUAGUAUGUUAAGAGAAUGGCGUUUUCAACUUAACUUAGUCCCUAACAUGCAAUCUAGAAUGGCGUGUUCAUAGAUUUAACAAGUAGAAAUCAUUAAGAAUAAAAAGAGUUUGAGUCAUCACAAGGCAUCGUAAGUACUGGCGUUGUCUUACUUAUCUUAGAAAUCGGUUCACAUGUUAACCACAAUUAACAAGUGCUACUCUAGAACAUAUGUAGGUCCUCAUUCAACAAGGGCAGGUAAACAUAUAUUCAUAGCAUUAAAAUCCUAAAUAUGCUCACUAUGUAUGCAUCCAUAGAAACACAUAAAGAAUUUAUCAAUGACAUAAGUAGUGAAACAAUUUUCAUCCUUUCAUAAAAGUCAUUCAAACAAAAUAUCACAACAAACUUACAAUCAUAUUCGGGGCUUCAAAACAGCCCCUAACUACUAAAAAUUAGUUACACAUUAUUCUCAAAUUAAACCAAAAGUAAAACAUGGGUUUGAGAAGAUAAAACCAAGAAAUAUAGAGUGAAGCCUCUGCUCUCUGCCGUGUUUCUGCUUGUCUGCCCUCUGUCUUCUUUUUUUUUUCUUUUCUGUUUUACUCCCGCUCUCCCCGUCAGUCUCCUCUCCCUCUCGCCUGCCAAUCUCUGCUUCUGUGCCUGCUAGUCAGUUUCCCCUUCUCACUUUCCGCACAGUUCUCUGCUUGUUUCUGUCGGUCUGUCAGUUCUUCCGCACAGUUUUCUGUGCUUCUCUGUUUCUCACCUCCCCCUUCCUGCUUCUCUGGCUUCUUCUUAUUUCCGUUUUCUGCCUCUGUCCCCGUGUCAUGCACUCCUAUCUUAUUAUUAUUUUUCUUCCACUCCUCUCUGUCUUCCCACUUCUUUAUUUUCUUAUUCUUCUUUCUCUGCGCACUGCUGUCCGUCCCGCACUUGUCUCUCCACUCCCUCUUAUUCUUCUAUUUUUCUUUUCUUUUAUCCCGCCAGUGCACUCCAUAUCCUCUGUCCCGUUUGCUGCCUUCUGCCUCUGUCAUUAUUUUAUUUUCUUUUUCUUCCUCUUUCUGCACUACACUCCACUUCCUCCUAUUCUUAUUCUUUAUGCCGUGUCUCCCAUCAAAUUCACAUUUCCCUUUGUUUAUUCAUGCCGUGCUUUCCUUUCCGUCCCAUUUAUUUUCUAUUGCUCUUAUUUUUUCUUGAAAUUGAUCCUAAAACAAAUUUAACUGCACAUUAACACAAGGUAAGGUAAAAUGCCACAAUUUUAACACAAAAACAUCACAAAGACUUUAGAAAUGGAUGGUAUAAAUGCAUGAAAUAUAUGAGUGAUCAUAAUCCCAAACUGAAUAGGUUCUCCACCUCUUCUAAUUAGCUUGGGUAACCAUGAUAUGCUGCUAGGUGUCACUCAUGGUUUGUGGAAGCCCUAAACGUGUAUAAUCACUAAAGGGAGAAUUGAAAGUAAGUUUCAAUUCACAAUCGAUUUGAAAUGGUUUUAAUCGCCCACUGCCUCGCUAAAAGGAACCUAAUGGAUCGUACACCGUGUAAGGUGAAAAUUGAAGAAACAAUGGAGAUGAGUAAGAAUAAUUAAAUGGUUUAAUUAUUUAUGGCAAAGAUUAAUUAAUAUGUUAAUUAAUCAAACGAAUAAGUUCGUUAAAGACCUCGGGAUAGUUUUGGACCUUAAGGCCCAAUGGGCUUCGAACGUCAAGCCCAUUGAAUUAAGUUGUAUGACAACUUAAUGAAUAAUGAUUCACAAAUGCCCAAUUAGCCCAAUAAUACCCUAAGGUCGGCCAUUUAGAGAUUGAGUGAGUUUUGGACUUAUUUACAAGUUUGCCACUCCAAUGAAUCAAGGUAUAAAUAUGACUUUAUAGCCAAAAUUCAUUUAGGGUUUUCUUUUGGGGAAAGGAUGAGAACAUAAGCUCUCUUUUCUCUCUAAAGUGGCCGGCCUCCUUUGAGAGUUUAGCUAGCAAUCCUACUACUCCAAGGUCACUCAUUUUCUUCUCCAAUCUAACCUUGGUGAAGAGACUUAGAGGUUCUCAAUUUUGGAAACUUGGAGAACCAUUUCAUCCAUCUAAAUCUAUAGAUCUAAGAUGCAAGGAAUGAAGGCCCUCUCUUUGGGUGAUUAGCCUUUGCUUAUGCAAAGAGGAAUCUACAAAGGUAUAAUUUCUCAACUAACAAAUGUUGUUUUAAGUUGAGUCAAGGUUCACCAAUCUACUAGGCUUUGAAUUUCAUGGGUAAUGUUUUGUUUUUAAGUGCAUACAAGCAUGAUUCCGCCUUUAAUUUGUUAAUUGCAUGCUAUAGAUGUUGCUUAAAUGAACAUGUUUUUCACAAAAUUUCCUUCAAUCCCUACAAUGCAUCUACAGUUACUUAACUAUUCAUAGAACAUGUUUUCCGAUUGCAUGGUAUGCCUACUUCCAUUGUGAGUGAUAGGGAUCUAGUGUUUAUAAGUGGAUUUUGGAAAGUGUUCUUCAAACUCCAAGGUUCUAAGCUUUGUAUGAGCUCAGGUUAUCAUCCCCAAACUGAUGGAUAGACUGAGGUGAUGAAUCGAUGUUUGGAGACAUAUCUCAAGUAUUUUGUUGGAGAGCAGCCCAAGAAGUGGGUUCAGUGGUUGCCAUGGGCAGAGUGGUGUUUUAACACUGCUUACCACACCUCUUCGAGGUACACCCCUUUUGAAUUGGUAUAUGGUUAUCCCCCACCUCACAUUGUUCCAUAUGAGAUUGGUUCUACCAAAGUGGCUUAUGUGGAACAAAGUAUGAUUAAAAGAGAUGGCUUACUAGUUGUGUUGAAAAGUAACCUGCAACUAGCUCAAAAUCGAAUGAAAGUGCAGGUAGAUAAAAAGAUGACCGAGAGACAAUUUGAUGUUGGAGAUAUGAUUUACUUGAAGUUGGUGCCCUAUCAGUUGCAAUCUUUGGUGAACCAUAGCUAUUAAAAGCUGCAACCACAAUUUUAUGGUCCUUAUGCAAUCCUUGAGAAGAUUGGUGCAGUGGCAUACAAAUUGCAGCUACCUGAAGGGUCAAAAAUUCAUCUGAUGUUUCAUGUUAGCUGUCUUAAAAAACAGCUCAGAGAUAAUGUGAUUCCACAUAUUGAACUACCUAUGGUGACUAAGGAUGGCCUGGCUCAGGAAAUACCUGUAGCAAUUCUGUCUAGAAAGAUGUACAAAAAGGGGAAUACAGCAAGGGUUCAACUUCUAAUGCAAUGGAAUGGAAAUGAAGCUGUUGAUGCGACUUGGGAAGACUUUGACGAGUUCCAGAAACGAUUUCUAGAUUCUACAGUGUAACCUUGCGGACAAGGUUGUUCUGAAGGGGAAGGCAUUAUUAUGAUCUUGUGAUUACUUAGAUCACAAGUAUCAGGAAAUGGGACUAAAUAUAAUAAGUGAGUUAGGUUGAAGGGUUAUUUUGCUAUUUGUAAUUCUGUAGGGAAAGUUUGUUCACAAUUUCUGUUUUAUAUUGCCUUGUGGCAGGUUUCACAUGUGUAUUUGGCUACUUAUAAAGCCAUAUAUUCUCUCACUUGUUAGAAAAAUAUAAUACAAUUUUACCAAAUUUGCUUCUGUUGUUCCUCUCAUCUUCCUCCACCGCCAUAUCUGAUCUUGCAAGCAGGUUAAGGUCUGAGCCUCGCCGGAUGUUAUCAACUUCCUUGCUUUCAUUGAUUAUUUUUGUGUUUAUGCAUGUUGGUUUUUUUAUUUUAUGUAUUGUUUUAUUAAUUUUGGUUAUGUGGAUGGAUGAAUUAAGGAGAUAUAAUGAGAGUGAUGCUUGUAUUGUGGACAAGAUCAAGGAGGUCACUGCAUACAAAUUCAAGAACACUACCAACUCUGCCUUAGCAAAAUAUUAUGUUGAUAAUGGCUUUUUAUGCUAUAAGAAUUGGAUAGUAAUUAGCCCAAAUUCCCUGUGGAGAACCAAACUUAUGGAGGAACACCAUUGCACUCCAAUAGCAAGUCGCCAAGGUGUGACUAAAACUUAUCAAAGGAUCAAAAGGGAAUUUUAUUGGCAAGGGAUGAAAAGGGAUAUAAGGAAGUUUGUGGCUGAGUGUGCCAUAUGCCAACAAAAUAAGUUUGAGACCAUUACACCACCUGGAUUGCUACAACUCUUACCUUUACCACAAAGGGUUUGGUUUGGUAUUAGUAUGGAUUUUAUAGUGGGAAUACCUAAUUGCAAGGGCAAAUCAAUUAUCAUGAUCAUUUUGGACAGGCUCUCCAACUACAGCCACUUUAUUACACUUGCUCAUCCCUACAAUGCAUCUACAGUUGCUCAACUAUUCAUAGAACAUGUUUUCUGAUUGCAUGGUAUGCCUACUUCCAUUAUGAGUGAUAGGGAUCUAGUGUUUAUAAGUGGAUUUUGGAAAGAGUUCUUCAAACUCCAAGGUUCUAAGCUUUGUAUGAGUUCAGGUUAUCAUCCCCAAACUAAUGGAUAGACUGAGGUGAUGAAUCGAUGUUUGGAGACAUAUCUCAGGUGUUUUGUUGUAGGGCAGCCCAAGAAGUGGGUUCAGUGGUUGCCAUGGGCAGAGUGGUGUUUUAACACUGCUUACCACACCUCUUCGAGGUACACCCCUUUUGAAUUGGUAUAUGGUUAUCCCUCACCUCACAUUGCUCCAUAUGAGAUUGGUUCUACCAAAGUGGCUUCUGUGGAACAAACUAUGAUUGAAAAAGAUGGCUGACUAGCUGUGUUGAAAAGUAACCUGCAACUAGCUCAAAAUUGAAUGAAAGUGCAGGCGGACAAAAAAAGGACCGAGAGACAAUUUGAUGUUAGAGAUAUGAUUUACUUGAAGUUGGUGCCCUAUCAGUUGCAAUGUUUGGUGAACCAUAGCUAUCAAAAGCUGCAACCACAAUUUUAUGGUCCUUAUGCAAUCCUUGAGAAGAUUGGUGCAGUGGCAUACAAAUUGUAGCUACCUGAAGGGUCAAAAAUUCAUUCGGUGUUUCAUGUUAGCUGUCUUAAAAAACAGCUCGGAGAUAAUGUGAUUCCACAUAUUGAACUACCUAUGGUGACUAAGGAUGGCCUGGCUCAGGAAAAACCUGCAACAAUUAUGUCUAGAAAGAUGUACAAAAAGGGGAAUACAGCAGGGGUUCAACUUCUAGUGCAAUGGAAUGGAAAUGAAGCUGUUGAUGCGACUUGGGAAGACUUUGACGAGUUCCAAAAAUGAUUUCCAAAUUUUACAGUGUAACCUUGAGGACAAGGUUGUUCUGAAGGGGAAUGCAUUGUUAUGAUCUUGUGAUUACUUCGAUCAUAAGUAUCAGGAAAUGAGACUAAAUGUAAUAAGUGAGUUAGGUUGAAGGGUUAUUUUGCUAUUUGUAAUUCUGUAGGGAAAGUUUGUUCACAAUUUCUGUUUUGUAUUGCCUUGUGGUAGGUUUCACAUGUGUAUUUGGCUACCUAUAAAGCCAUAUAUUCUCUCACUUCGAAGGGUUAGAAAAAUAUAAUACAAUUUUACCAAAUUUGCUUCUGUUGUUCCUCUCAUCUUCCUCCACCGCCAUAUCUGAUCUUGCAAGCAGGUUAAGGUUUGAGCCUCGCCAAAUUUGGAUGUUAUCAACUUCCUUACUUUCACUGAUUAUUUUUGUGUUUAUGCAUGUUGGUUUUUUUAUUUUAUGUAUUGUUUUAUUAAUUUUGGUUAUGUGAUUUGAUUUUUGUUCUUCGUUUUACUUGGAUUUUGAGGUUUCCUUUCUGUUGUUUUUAGGUUUCUUUCCCUUUGCUAAAAUUAGAAUUGGCUAAAUUUUGUUGAUUUCUUUUUGUCUUUGUAGGAAAUUUUAGCGUUGUUUUUCUGGCUGUUAUAUGAUGGGUGACAGAUUGUGCUUUUCCAAUUUUUUGGUUUUGCAGCAUUUAACAAAUAGGUAACUAGCUUUGAGAUAUAAGGAGAGAAACUAAGGCAUACGAAGCAUCUAGAAACGGAGGUGUCGUGGCUUCAAACCCAGAAACAGAAGCAAUUGUGGUCGCAUCACCCUUGAGACUGUGGGUGCCAUCUGUGUGCACGCAUCAAAGGGUUUAUAAACAACCAAAGGAAUAUCGAAAACGGGUAUCCGUCUGAGGUAGUGGUCAAUAUUUCCCAAUAUUACUCUUCUUUGCUAUUUUGGGUUGACAUUAUCAAUAUGAUUUGCUUUUAAAUGUUUUUUUUUUUUGUUUGCUAUGAAUUUAGUUUCGAAUUUUGUGUUUGCAUAGAUAUGUUGGAAAAUAUGUGCAUUUGUAGAUGUUGGGGAAUCACAAGUGUUCUAGGUACUGAAUUUUGUCAAUUGUCUUUUAAUUCGGAUUCAUGCGAGGAUAUUCAUGCUUUGUAGAAUUAAUAAGUAGUAAAAGUGAUUGAUAAGCAUUGAACCCAGCAAAAAACUUUGCUUUUGAACAAAAUUGUGAUAGCCCAUAAAAAUACCUAUUCGGAAUAAAUAGCUGUUUCAUUAGGAUAUUUAUACCUUCUUUGUUGUGUCAUGCUAUAUUAAGUGUAUUUCGUCAAAAAUAUGUUUUAAUAAACUUUGAUUCCUAAAAACUUUUGUAUUAAAAUAACAUGAUUAUGUAUGAGGGAUCCUAUGGUUGAGUUUGUGAAUAUUUACAAUGAUGCUUUGUCAUCCAUUUUAUGUGUAUAAAAGUGCGACCUCCUCAGUCAAAUCCAAACAUAUUAAAAAUGAAAGAACAAAGAUGCAUUCAUACAACCAUCUAAUUCUACCAUUGUAGCAUAAACUGGAAUUAUUAGUAUUUUUUAAUGGUAUAGGAAUUUGUAGUCAGCAUAUCAUUUUCUGCAAGACUGAAGAUUAGUUUCUGGGCAUGAAGCCUUUCACGCCUAUUAAUUCUUUAGUUUAAUGACCGUUUGCAUCCUUAAAACUAUUUUUUAUGUUUGGUUGUCUUUUUCAGCAAAUAAUUAAAUUCAUAUAAAUUCUGUUACCUUCCGCCUUAUCAGUUUUGUUAUGUUUGGUUCAGCUUCAAUAUAAAAUGUGUUUGGCUGAGAGACUGUUGGUUAAACAGAAAAAAUUUCAUGGGUUUUAUGAGGUGUUUAAAUUUUACGCCCGCAACAUCGUGCCGGCACCAUUGCUAGUUAUUCCUUUAGUCUAAAGAAAGCAUUGGAAUUGUCACUAUUCCUUACUGUUCAUGCACCUGAAUUUCAGUUUAAUUACAUCCAUACCAUUGGUUUAAUGAGUGGGCUUUGUGGAAGUUUUGGGUUCGGCCUGGGGGCUUUUUUUUGGGUUUGGGCAGAUGGCCUUUUGCUGGUUUGGCCUAUGGCUGGUUUUAUUUGGUUGGUUUCGAUAGGGAUAGGAAAGCGGUGAGGUGAAUGUCGUGAGUCCAGUGUAGCUUGCAGAAUGGCAGGGAGUAGAGUAGAGAUGGAAGAGUCGUGGGUGAGAGAAGAGGAGAGGGAAGAGUCGUGCGUUUCAAACGGGAUGUGAGGAAAGACGGGAGGAGAGAGAGAGGGGUAGGAUGAGCGAAUCAAGGGUAGGGGUGCCUGAGAGUUUGGUUUGAAGGGUCGACAGCAAAGGGUGCGGAGAGAGACGGCGAGGCAAGUUGGGAAGACUAGGGGUAGGGUUCCUUUCGGGAUUUUGGUUCCAGCUGGAUGCCAUUUCUUCAACAAUUAAUGGGGAAGGCAUGGUUGCAUGCAGUUUCUGGGGUUGUGGGAGACAUUUAUGGAUUUUGUCCAAUGUUUUUAAAGAAGGAUAGAGAGUGAGAGGGAGAGGGCAGAAAGCAUGAUUUGAUUGAGUGGCAGGGAUAUUUAGAGGUUUUGUACUCUGAUUCAAUAGCUCAAACACUGUUUUUCAGUCAUUGUUUAUUGUUUGGUUUGUCAUUUGCUUUGUUAAAACUAUGAUUAACAUUUUAUUGUUUCGAUUAAGUUGUAAAGGAAUUUUAUAGCUCGUUUAGUUGGGUGUUAGGAAGAUCAAUCUGGUUAGUGCACUGUUUCGUGCACUGUUAGAGUCAGGUUUGUGUCUUUAUAACUUUGGUAGUUACACUGUGCUCAUUUCUCUGUUUCUUCAUGCUUUGCUCCUGUUUCCUUCUCAACAAAUCAAACUGAGGUUCCUUUCUGCUUUACAUCCUUUGAAUAUCUCUCUGUUACUGGUUGUUUCUCCAUACUUUGUUGCUUCUAUAUUUUUGUGAUAAGGGUGUUAGAAGGCUGUUUUAGUUGUUGUUUUGCUCCUCUGUUGAUAGAUUGUUUUUGCAAAUCUUGGUUGCUUAUGUAUUUCUGUUACUAGAUUGUUUCUCCAUACUUUGUUGCUGCUGUAUUUAUGUGAUAAGGGUGUUAGAAGGCUCUUUUAGUUAUUGUUUUGCUCAUCUGUUGUCGUGUUUAAUUUUGUUUUGUUUUGUUUUUUGCUUUAGGAAAUCGUGGUUCUUCAGAUUUGGGCAUUUUGUUUGCAGCCUUCAAAGCACUGUGUAUUUAAGGUGAGCAAAUUCAAGAUUUUAGAGUUUUGAUUUAGAGACGAUGCCUGAUAAAUUCGGUAGGAAAUUUGAGAUAAUACUAGGAAAGUUUUGCUCUUUUCUAAACUAGGUUGUUGGAUUCUUUUAUCUGGGAACAUUUUAGAUUGAAAACUGUAACUUUGUGCGAGGUUUCAUGAAAUAUAGGAAG